UGGGGUAUAGCCAAGUUGGUAAGGCAGCGGAUUUUGAUUCCGCGAUGCGGAGGUUCGAGUCCUCCUACCCCAGCCA
rnacentral:tRNA from 1 species